AGGUAAGCUACUAAGAGCGAAUGGUGGAUGCCUUGACUGGUAAAGGCGAUGAAGGACGUACUAGACUGCGAUAAGCUACGGGGAGCUGUCAAGAAGCUUUGAUCCGUAGAUUUCCGAAUGGGGCAACCCAAUGUAUAGAGAUAUACAUUACCUAUAUAGGAGCGAACGAGGGGAAUUGAAACAUCUUAGUACCCUCAGGAAAAGAAAUCAAUAGAGAUUGCGUCAGUAGCGGCGAGCGAAAGCGCAAGAGGGCAAACCCAGUGCUUGCACUGGGGGUUGUAGGACUGCAAUGUGCAAGAGGUAAGUUUAGCAGAACAUUCUGGAAAGUAUAACCAUAGAGGGUGAUAGUCCCGUAUGCGAAAAACAAACCUUAGCUAGCAGUAUCCUGAGUAGGGCGGGACACGAGGAAUCCUGUCUGAAUCCGGGUCGACCACGAUCCAACCCUAAAUACUAAUACCAGAUCGAUAGUGCACAAGUACCGUGAGGGAAAGGUGAAAAGAACUGAGGUGAUCAGAGUGAAAUAGAACCUGAAACCAUUUGCUUACAAUCAUUCAGAGCACUAUGUAGCAAUACAGUGUGAUGGACUGCCUUUUGCAUAAUGAGCCUGCGAGUUGUGGUGUCUGGCAAGGUUAAGCAAACGCGAAGCCGUAGCGAAAGCGAGUCUGAAUAGGGCGCUUAGUCAGAUGCUGCAGACCCGAAACGAAGUGAUCUAUCCAUGAGCAAGUUGAAGCUAGUGUAAGAACUAGUGGAGGACUGAACCCAUAGGCGUUGAAAAGCCCCGGGAUGACUUGUGGAUAGGGGUGAAAGGCCAAUCAAACUUCGUGAUAGCUGGUUCUCUCCGAAAUAUAUUUAGGUAUAGCGUUGUGUCGUAAUAUAAGGGGGUAGAGCACUGAAUGGGCUAGGGCAUACACCAAUGUACCAAACCCUAUCAAACUCCGAAUACCUUAUAUGUAAUCACAGCAGUCAGGCGGCGAGUGAUAAAAUCCGUCGUCAAGAGGGAAACAACCCAGACUACCAGCUAAGGUCCCUAAAUCUUACUUAAGUGGAAAACGAUGUGAAGUUACUUAAACAACCAGGAGGUUGGCUUAGAAGCAGCCAUCCUUUAAAGAAAGCGUAAUAGCUCACUGGUCUAGUGAUUUUGCGCGGAAAAUAUAACGGGGCUAAAGUAAGUACCGAAGCUGUAGACUUGCACACAACUUAGAUUAUUUAAGUUUAGAAUAUGAGAAACUAAGUUAUAUGUUUAGUUAUAUUUUUACUGAUUUUUAUAGAGUAAAGAUAGAAAUAAAACUUAGUAAAAUCAGUAAAAAUAUUCUUAGACUAAAGUUAAGUAGUUUAAGUUGUGUGCAAGUGGUAGGAGAGCGUUCUAUUUGCGUCGAAGGUAUACCGGUAAGGAGUGCUGGAGCGAAUAGAAGUGAGCAUGCAGGCAUGAGUAGCGAUAAUUAAUGUGAGAAUCAUUAACGCCGUAAACCCAAGGUUUCCUACGCGAUGCUCGUCAUCGUAGGGUUAGUCGGGUCCUAAGUCGAGUCCGAAAGGGGUAGACGAUGGCAAAUUGGUUAAUAUUCCAAUACCAACAUUAGUGUGCGAUGGAAGGACGCUUAGGGCUAAGGGGGCUAGCGGAUGGAAGUGCUAGUCUAAGGUCGUAGGAGGUUGUACAGGCAAAUCCGUAUAACAAUACUCCGAGAACUGAAAGGCUUUUUGAAGUCUUCGGAUGGAUAGAAGAACCCCUGAUGCCGUCGAGCCAAGAAAAGUUUCUAAGUUUAGCUAAUGUUGCCCGUACCGUAAACCGACACAGGUGGGUGGGAUGAGUAUUCUAAGGCGCGUGGAAGAACUCUCUUUAAGGAACUCUGCAAAAUAGCACCGUAUCUUCGGUAUAAGGUGUGGUUAGCUUCGUACUAGGAUUUACUCCGAAAGCGAAGAAACUUACAACAAAGAGUCCCUCCCGACUGUUUACCAAAAACACAGCACUCUGCUAACUCGUAAGAGGAUGUAUAGGGUGUGACGCCUGCCCGGUGCUCGAAGGUUAAUUGAUGGGGUUAGCAUUAGCGAAGCUCUUGAUCGAAGCCCGAGUAAACGGCGGCCGUAACUAUAACGGUCCUAAGGUAGCGAAAUUCCUUGUCGGUUAAAUACCGACCUGCAUGAAUGGCGUAACGAGAUGGGAGCUGUCUCAAAGAGGGAUCCAGUGAAAUUGUAGUGGAGGUGAAAAUUCCUCCUACCCGCGGCAAGACGGAAAGACCCCGUGGACCUUUACUACAGCUUGACACUGCUACUUGGAUAAGAAUGUGCAGGAUAGGUGGGAGGCUUUGAGUAUAUGACGCCAGUUGUAUAUGAGCCAUUGUUGAGAUACCACUCUUUCUUAUUUGGGUAGCUAACCAGCUUGAGUUAUCCUCAAGUGGGACAAUGUCUGGUGGGUAGUUUGACUGGGGCGGUCGCCUCCCAAAUAAUAACGGAGGCUUACAAAGGUUGGCUCAGAACGGUUGGAAAUCGUUCGUAGAGUAUAAAGGUAUAAGCCAGCUUAACUGCAAGACAUACAAGUCAAGCAGAGACGAAAGUCGGUCUUAGUGAUCCGGUGGUUCUGUGUGGAAGGGCCAUCGCUCAAAGGAUAAAAGGUACCCCGGGGAUAACAGGCUGAUCUCCCCCAAGAGCUCACAUCGACGGGGAGGUUUGGCACCUCGAUGUCGGCUCAUCGCAUCCUGGGGCUGGAGCAGGUCCCAAGGGUAUGGCUGUUCGCCAUUUAAAGCGGUACGCGAGCUGGGUUCAGAACGUCGUGAGACAGUUCGGUCCCUAUCUGCCGUGGGCGUAAGAAGAUUGAAGAGAUUUGACCCUAGUACGAGAGGACCGGGUUGAACAAACCACUGGUGUAGCUGUUGUUCUGCCAAGAGCAUCGCAGCGUAGCUAAGUUUGGAAAGGAUAAACGCUGAAAGCAUCUAAGCGUGAAGCCAACUCUAAGAUGAAUCUUCUCUAAGCUCUCUAGAAGACUACUAGUUUGAUAGGCUGGGUGUGUAAUGGAUGAAAGUCCUUUAGCUGACCAGUACUAAUAGAGCGUUUGGCUUAUCUUU
rnacentral:rRNA from 1 species